rnacentral:tRNA from 1 species
GACUCAGUGGUCUGAUGGUGAUGCGUUUGCCGCGGAAUCAGAGGAUCUUGGGUUCGAUCCCCGGUGGUGUCG